GGAGAGAUAGCUCAGCAGUUUAGGGCACUGACUGCUGUUCCAGAGAUCCUGAGUUCAAUUCCCAGCAACCUCA
rnacentral:tRNA from 1 species